CCUCUUGUAUUAUUAACAGCGUGAUUAUCUAGAGAGGAAGAUCUUCUCAUUACUACUCCUCCAACAUGUUGUCUUCAGUUUCACUGCUUCUUCUGGCUCUCGUCCCCUAUGUGUUCUGUGCUACUGAGCUCAUCCAGCCAGACUCAGUGCUUCUAAAGCCAGGAGAGACUUUAUCCAUCACCUGUAGAGUGUCUGGAGCUUCUAUCACUGAUAGCAGCCACUGGGGAACAGCUUGGAUUCGACAACCUGCCGGAAAAGCUCUGGAAUGGAUCAACACCAUUGAUUAUGAUGGAGAUAUUUAUAAGAAAGAUUCACUUAAAGGCAAGUUUGUCAUCUCUCGAGACACUUCCAGUAACAGUGUGACCUUACAGGGGAAGAACAUGCAGGCUGAAGACACAGCUGUGUAUUACUGCGCUCGUGACCCCAGAGUGAAACAUGUCGACAACAUCCCUGUACAAAAACAUCCUGUACAGAAAACUGUUUAGCAGCAAAAGCAAAAAUUCAACAUUUUAUAAGUGUGGUGUGUUGUUUCAUGUUCCCUUAUGAACAGUGAACAAAGUCCUGAGUGAACAGUGCUCAUCAUGUUUAUAAACUUUUUUAUUUUACAGAAAUAUCUAGUUAAAAUCUGUGAACUCUAUCCAAAAGUAAAUGUGCUUCAUAAUUGUUACAUGUAGAUUACAGCACAGUGAAACUCUUUCUCUAGUAUUAGGAACCUGGUGUCAGGGCACAGGGUCAGCCAUGAUACAGUGCUCCUGGAGCAAAUAGAGUUAAAGGGCUUGAAGCCAGAUUCAAAAGAGAACCCAUCAUCACUUAGGUCUCACGAAUGUCCACUUAUCAUAGUUCCAACUGUUCACUGUUGAACAAUUUAAAUGCAAAAACUGUUCAUGGCACUGUUCAACUCUAGCCCUGAACUAUUGUAGCAGACUGUAAAUACAGUCCAGAUGUUCAUGGUUCUUGAUUUUU